UACGUAGGAUCCAAGCGUUGUCCGGAUUUACUGGGUGUAAAGGGUGCGCAGGCGGGCUCAUAAGUCAGUAGUGAAAUCUCGGCGCUCAACGCCGAAACGUCUUUUGAUACUAUGAGCCUUGAAUAAGCGAGAGAUCCGUGGAAUUCCGAGUGUAGCAGUGAAAUGUGUAGAUAUUCGGAAGAACACCAGAGGCGAAGGCAGCGGGUUGGCGCUUUAUUGACGCUCAGGCACGAAAGCAUGGGGGAUCAAACAGG
rnacentral:rRNA from 1 species